GAUGAACGCUAGCGGCAGGCCUAAUACAUGCAAGUCGGACGGGAUUUGGGAGCUUGCUCCUAAUGAGAGUGGCGCACGGGUGCGUAACACGUAUGUAACCUACCUUAAUCAGGGGGAUAGCCUCUCGAAAGAGAGAUUAACACCGCAUAAUAUAUUUUUAUGGCAUCGUAGAAAUAUCAAAUAUUUAUAGGAUUAAGAUGGGCAUGCGGAACAUUAGCUAGUUGGUAAGGUAACGGCUUACCAAGGCUACGAUGUUUAGGGGAUCUGAGAGGAUGACCCCCCACACUGGUACUGAGACACGGACCAGACUCCUACGGGAGGCAGCAGUAAGGAAUAUUGGUCAAUGGGCGCAAGCCUGAACCAGCCAUGCCGCGUGCAGGAAGACGGCCCUAUGGGUUGUAAACUGCUUUUGUACCGGAAUAAACCCUUUUACGUGUAGAAGGCUGAAUGUACGGUAAGAAUAAGGAUCGGCUAACUCCGUGCCAGCCGCCGCCGUAA
rnacentral:rRNA from 1 species